AUUGAACGCUGGCGGCAUGCCUUACACAUGCAAGUCGAACGGUAACGGGCCUUCGGGUGCCGACGAGUGGCGAACGGGUGAGUAAUACAUCGGAACGUGCCCGAUCGUGGGGGAUAACGAGGCGAAAGCUUUGCUAAUACCGCAUACGAUCUACGGAUGAAAGCAGGGGACCGCAAGGCCUUGCGCGGACGGAGCGGCCGAUGGCAGAUUAGGUAGUUGGUGGGAUAAAAGCUUACCAAGCCGACGAUCUGUAGCUGGUCUGAGAGGAUGAUCAGCCACACUGGGACUGAGACACGGCCCAGACUCCUACGGGAGGCAGCAGUGGGGAAUUUUGAACAAUGGGCGCAAGCCUGAUCCAGCCAUGCCGCGUGCAGGAUGAAGGCCUUCGGGUUGUAAACUGCUUUUGUACGGAACGAAAAGCCUUCUUUUAAUACAGGAGGGUCAUGACGGUACCGUAAGAAUAAGCACCGGCUAACUACGUG
rnacentral:rRNA from 1 species